GUCUAAUAACUUACACGCGGAGACGUAUGUUACUUAAUUUUGUUUUCUGUGCUUCCUUCUGCCACCAUUUCCCCAAGAGUCCAGUUAAAGUCUUCCAAAUGGAACUGGCUUGUGACAGUGGUGCUUAGAGGACAGGAAGAAGCAGGCUUGCACUGAAGUAUCCAGCCUGGACUGAAGUCGUGUGGCAGGAAGAUGGCUGCUGUGGGCGCCAGGAGGAGCUGGGUGGAGUAGCAGGAGUGGAGAAGAAAAAGCACACGGAAGAGGGGAGCACUCCAGUAAAAAGAACGGCUCUCCAGCACCUUUCAAAGGGAACUGGAAGGAAAAACCUUCCAUCAAUGUGUGAGAUGGCUCGCGCUCUCCUUGCUUCCUCCAUUUCACAGUUGGAGACACCACGACCAGAGCAUGGUGAAAAUUAAUAAGGAGAGGGGUGCCGAGUCCACCCUGCUGGGGUGUGGGAAGCAGAAGCCCUGACCAUUCAGAGAUGGAUUUACAGAAGCAGGAACUGAAGACAAAGCAGGAGGUCUUCAAAAUAACUCUCAGAGAAGCUUCUUUGAUGAGCUGAGGCAAUUCAGCAACUUCGGCACUGCGCACUCGUGCUCGUAAAUCACCAGUAUUUGCAGGCGUUGCAAGCUGUCUCCCAAUAUGCAGUUAAAAAAAUAUUCUCACUGCAGUAGCACUAAAGAUCUACUGCCAGUUAUUUUGCUUCAGUACCUUGCAUCUUAAGGGACAAUUUGAUUUUUGC
rnacentral:lncRNA from 1 species